GGAUGGUUGGCCGAGCGGUCUAAGGCGGCGGUCUUGAAAACCGUUGUGCGAAAGUACCAGGGGUUCGAAUCCCUUACCAUCCG
rnacentral:tRNA from 1 species